rnacentral:sRNA from 1 species
UAACAUCUGUACACGUUAAUUGAUCUUC